GGGAAGCUGGCGUGCUGUGGGCUAAUCCCAGCCUCCUUGAAGCAGUCCGGCUUCUGUGUUCAAAUGCAGACCCCACAGCACUUGGCAGCCCGCUUACUGUAUGUCGGCUGGCGACCUCGGACUUGCUGAGUCAGUACUGGACAGCGGCGGCAGCAGCAGCAGAGGCGGGCAGCCGGAUUUGCUGCAGUACUAAUUACAAGGGCUUCCUUAGGUUGCCCCCCUUCCUCAGCUCAGUUAAGUGAUUCCCAGCCUGGUGGUGAGAGGAGGCUGAUCAGCUUUUUCUCAACCCCCUCCCUUCUGUUUCGACACAGCCCAAGAAGGGAAUGGGGUAGGAAACAAGAAAACCCGAGCCUCAGACUACUGUGUGGCUGAUCACUGCUCACCAUCACCGCUGAAGGGAGAGGGGACAGCUCCGCUCUCUGUUUUCCCUCCGGACCUCCAUUCCAUCAGCUUGGGGGUUGGUCCCUUUGCCCACUGCAUAAUCUCUGGUCAAAGUUAGACGAGGGGAGAAAGAGAUCUGCUUCCUCUGAGGAUCCAGGGACAAGAGUUUUUCCAGAGUUGAAAAAGAAUAUAAGUCUUGGCAACUGAGGCUGGCUCCAUGUAUCCAGAAUCUACCACAGGCUCGCCAGCACGGCUCUCCCUACGACAGACGGGCUCCCCAGGCAUGAUUUACAGUACUCGAUACGGGAGUCCCAAAAGGCAGCUCCAGUUUUACAGGUAACAGAGACCUUUAUUUUCUCCUAAGCUAGUAAACAGUCGCAGGUCAGGGAGAGGGGUGGGCGGGACCGACAC
ensembl:lncRNA